UGUUGAUUUAAGCAGAGUCUCGUGCCCAGCGGAAGGAUGAGGAAUACGUGCUGCAUACUCUUUAUUGCUUUAUUUACAGUUCAAAGCUGGUAUAUUACAGAAAGACAUCUUGCCUCUGCCGGAGCAGAAAAUGCAUCCUCUCUCCUCGACAGCUCGGAGAGAAUCACACAGUGAAAAAACAGGAAACCAGUGUACGUCACAUCCAGUCUCCCUUUCCCGUGAGAAACUCCAACAGUACAGACUGUGGAAUGUAAACACCUGUCUCGUGACAAGUUAGCUGCACAGUGAAGGAAAGCAGAAACCAACAUCCUCCCCCUUUCUGUGAACAUCACUGGGCAGCGUGUUUGCACAAUAUCAGUACAAACCCAACUUCUGCACAUAGGUACAGUGUUGAUCCCUUGAUACAAUCUUGGACAAUACAUCAGCAGGAAUUUCAUUACCUGGCAUAUAGGACACCGUUACUGAGUCCCUUCUGAAUACAUUCCCUAGCAUGCUGCAACUUUAAUUGCAAGUGCUUUGUGCUUUGCUUACAACCUUCAGACUUGAGCAAAGCCAAACAUGCUUUGUUGUCCUGGUAAACCUGGAUUGGACAUUUGACAGGAAUUUUUAUAUCUUUGCACAAUUGUACUAACCAUUCACAAUCCUUAAGUGAAUAAGACAGUGCAUUCAGUUCGGCUUCACAAGUACUUAAGCUAACUGUUGUUUGCUUCUUGCAUGACCAAUCAAACAGACUCUGAUUGUACAUGUAGCAAACUCCAGACGUACUUUUCCUGUCUGUAGCGUCACUUCCAAAACUUGCAUCUGCAAAUAUCUCAAGACCACCAGACUUCUGAUUGUUAAAUCUCAGUCUGUAAUGCAUAGUGCCUUUCAAAUACCGCGCUAUGCGUUUCAGAGCUUUCCAAUCCUUGACACUAGGAUUGUUGACUUGUCUGCUUAGCAAAUUACAGCUAACAGCAAUGUCUGGUCUUGAACAUCUGGCAAUGAAGUUUAGCUUGCCUAGCACACUCCUGUACAGUGUAGUGUCAGAAAAUGCUUCUUCAGUGUCAUCUACCUGAUAACCUGUUGUCAUCGGUGUGUCUACAGGGUUAGCAUCCAUCAGAUUUAGUUUGCUUAACACAUCAGCAAUUUUCCGUGACUGGUGUACUAGAAUGUUACCAUCUUGAUCUCUCUCUAUUUCCAGAGAUAGGUAGUUGUUUACCUCACCAAGAUCUUUCAUGUCAAAGUGCUCUUUCAGUUGAGCUAGGGCGCUAUUGUACAUUGCAACAUCUUUCC